rnacentral:rRNA from 1 species
CCUACGGGUGGCAGCAGUGAGGAAUAUUGGUCAAUGGACGAGAGUCUGAACCAGCCAAGUAGCGUGAAGGAUGACUGCCCUAUGGGUUGUAAACUUCUUUUAUAUGGGAAUAAAAUGUUCCACGUGUGGGAUUUUGUAUGUACCAUAUGAAUAAGGAUCGGCUAACUCCGUGCCAGCAGCCGCGGUAAUACGGAGGAUCCGAGCGUUAUCCGGAUUUAUUGGGUUUAAAGGGAGCGUAGGUGGAUUGUUAAGUCAGUUGUGAAAGUUUGCGGCUCAACCGUAAAAUUGCAGUUGAAACUGGCAGUCUUGAGGACAGUAGAGGUGGGCGGAAUUCGUGGUGUAGCGGUGAAAUGCUUAGAUAUCACGAAGAACUCCGAGUGCGAAGGCAGUUCACUGGACUGCAACUGACACUGAGGCUCGAAAGUGUGGGUAUCAAACAGGAUUAGAUACCCGGGUAGUC